GAAGUCCGCCGGGCAACCGCGGCGCGCAAGCGCGGAGGAAAGUCCGGGCCCCGCAGAGCAGGAUGCCGGCUAACGGCCGGGCGCAGCAAGCCGCGCGAAAGCGCGGCCCAAGGCGACGGAAAGUGGAACAGAAAACAUACCGCCGAUGGCCGCAAGGAUCAGGCAAGGUUGAAAUGGUGCGCCUGCGGGCGGGCGGAAACGCCGGGUAAGAGCCCACCGCGUGCGCGGCAACGUGCACGGCAUGCAAAACCCCAUCCGGGGCAAGGCCAAAUAGGGAAGCGAUGACGCGGCUCGCGUCGCUUCCGGGUAGGCUGCUCGAGCGACGUGGCAACACGUCGCCCAGAUGAAUGGUUGCCGGUGCGUUCGCGCACAACAGAACCCGGCUUACAGGCGGACUUCCACU
rfam:Methyloversatilis sp. RAC08, complete genome.